rnacentral:rRNA from 1 species
AUGCAAGUCGAACGAUGAAGCCCAGCUUGCUGGGUGGAUUAGUGGCGAACGGGUGAGUAACACGUGAGUAACCUGCCCUUAACUCUGGGAUAAGCCUGGGAAACUGGGUCUAAUACCGGAUAGGAGCGUCCACCGCAUGGUGGGUGUUGGAAAGAUUUAUCGGUUUUGGAUGGACUCGCGGCCUAUCAGCUUGUUGGUGAGGUAAUGGCUCACCAAGGCGACGACGGGUAGCCGGCCUGAGAGGGUGACCGGCCACACUGGGACUGAGACACGGCCCAGACUCCUACGGGAGGCAGCAGUGGGGAAUAUUGCACAAUGGGCGCAAGCCUGAUGCAGCGACGCCGCGUGAGGGAUGACGGCCUUCGGGUUGUAAACCUCUUUCAGUAGGGAAGAAGCGAAAGUGACGGUACCUGCAGAAGAAGCACCGGCUAACUACGUGCCAGCAGCCGCGGUAAUACGUAGGGUGCGAGCGUUAUCCGGAAUUAUUGGGCGUAAAGAGCUCGUAGGCGGUUUGUCGCGUCUGUCGUGAAAGUCCGGGGCUUAACCCCGGAUCUGCGGUGGGUACGGGCAGACUAGAGUGCAGUAGGGGAGACUGGAAUUCCUGGUGUAGCGGUGGAAUGCGCAGAUAUCAGGAGGAACACCGAUGGCGAAGGCAGGUCUCUGGGCUGUAACUGACGCUGAGGAGCGAAAGCAUGGGGAGCGAACAGGAUUAGAUACCCUGGUAGUCCAUGCCGUAAACGUUGGGCACUAGGUGUGGGGACCAUUCCACGGUUUCCGCGCCGCAGCUAACGCAUUAAGUGCCCCGCCUGGGGAGUACGGCCGCAAGGCUAAAACUCAAAGGAAUUGACGGGGGCCCGCACAAGCGGCGGAGCAUGCGGAUUAAUUCGAUGCAACGCGAAGAACCUUACCAAGGCUUGACAUGUUCUCGAUCGCCGUAGAGAUACGGUUUCCCCUUUGGGGCGGGUUCACAGGUGGUGCAUGGUUGUCGUCAGCUCGUGUCGUGAGAUGUUGGGUUAAGUCCCGCAACGAGCGCAACCCUCGUUCCAUGUUGCCAGCACGUAAUGGUGGGGACUCAUGGGAGACUGCCGGGGUCAACUCGGAGGAAGGUGAGGACGACGUCAAAUCAUCAUGCCCCUUAUGUCUUGGGCUUCACGCAUGCUACAAUGGCCGGUACAAUGGGUUGCGAUACUGUGAGGUGGAGCUAAUCCCAAAAAGCCGGUCUCAGUUCGGAUUGGGGUCUGCAACUCGACCCCAUGAAGUCGGAGUCGCUAGUAAUCGCAGAUCAGCA